rnacentral:rRNA from 1 species
AACGAACGCUGGCGGCAUGCCUAACACAUGCAAGUCGAACGAGACCUUCGGGUCUAGUGGCGCACGGGUGCGUAACGCGUGGGAACCUGCCCUUAGGUUCGGAAUAACUCCCCGAAAGGGGUGCUAAUACCGGAUAAUGUCUUCGGACCAAAGAUUUAUCGCCUUUGGAUGGGCGCGCGUUGGAUUAGCUAGUUGGUAGUGUAAAAGCCUAUCACGGCGACGAUCGAUAGCUGGUAUGAGAGGAUGGUCAGCCACACUGGGACGGAGACACGGCCGAGAAUACUACGGGAGGCAGGAGUGGGGAAUAUUGGAAAACGGGCGAAAGGAUGAUGCAGCAAUGCCGGGUGAGUGAUGAAGGCCUGAGGGAUGUAAAGCUCUUUUAUCCGGGAUGAUAAUGACAGUACCGGGAGAAUAAGCACCGGCUAACUCCGUG